rnacentral:rRNA from 1 species
AACGAACGCUGGCGGCGUGGAUAAGACAUGCAAGUCGAACGGGAUUACUUCUGUAGCAAUACAGGAGUAGUCUAGUGGCGUAAGGGUGCGUAACACGUGGGUAAUCUGCCGAGAAGUGGGGGAUAGCUCGCCGAAAGGCGAAUUAAUACCGCAUGCGGUUAGUGAGGACAUCCUCGCGAUACCAAAGCCGGGGCAACCUGGCGCUUCUUGAUGAACCCGCGGCCUAUCAGCUAGUUGGUGAGGUAACGGCUCACCAAGGCUAUGACGGGUAGCUGGUCUGAGAGGACGACCAGCCACACUGGGAACUGAGACACGGUCCAGACACCUACGGGUGGCAGCAGUCGAGAAUUUUUCUCAAUGGGGAAAACCCUGAAGGAGCGACGCCGCGUGGAGAUGAAGGUCUUCGGAUUGUAAACUCCUGUCA